rnacentral:lncRNA from 10 species
GCUACCGUCGGCACUGGAGGGGUGAGAGCUGUAAAAGGGAGAAUUGGGAACGGCAUGGGGUUGGCCACUCCAGCACUUGAGCAGCUUUCUUCUGCGUUAGGAAGCCUGGGGAGAGGGGAACUGGCUAAAGGGCAAAAUGUCACUGAGGAACUUCGGAGAAGAUGGGGACAAGGCGUCGGGCGGGGGAGCCAGCGCUCAGGAGCCCAGGCACCAUACUGUCUUUUCGAGGUAGGAGUCGACUCCUGUGAGGUAUGGUGCUGGGUGCAGAUGCAGUGUGGCUCUGGAUAGCACCUUAUGGACAGUUGUGUCCCCAAGGAAGGAUGAGAAUAGCUACUGAAGUCCUAAAGAGCAAGCCUAACUCAAGCCAUUGGCACACAGGUGGAGUCCAACUUGCCUGGACCAGCUUAAUGGUUCUGCUCCUGGUAACGUUUUUAUCCAUGGAUGACUUGCUUGGGUAAGGACAUGAAGACAGUUCCUGUCAUACCUUUUAAAGGACUCAGAAUUCAUGAUUGAAGAAAUGCAGGCAGACCUGUUAUCCUAAACUAGGGUUUUUAAUGACCACAACAAGCAAGCAUGCAGCUUACUGCUUGAAAGACAGGGUCUUGCCUCACCCAAGCUAGAGUGCAGUGGCCUUUGAAGCUUACUACAGCCUCAAACUUCUGGGCUCAAGUGAUCCUCAGCCUCCCAGUGGUCUUUGUAGACUGCCUGAUGGAGUCUCAUGGCACAAGAAGAUUAAAACAGUGUCUCCAAUUUUAAUAAAUUUUUGCAAUCCAUCUGGAGUGUGUAGUGUUUACUUAAAAAAGGACAGUGCUUUUCAUCUGUUCAUUAGCUGUAAGCAUAAAUCACAUUCAAAAGCUAUUAUAACUCCAUGGUAUUUGCUUCAUUAACACUGCAGCCAGUUAAAAUUUUAUGGGUAUUUUACAAGGUGUCUUAUGCAUUAAAGUGCAAUAUUUCCUAAUUCUCCAUAUGAGCAAAUUGUCAGGUUUCAUAGGCCCCUGUGCUAAUUGGUUUUGAGCUUAAAGUAUUGAUGGAGCUACUUGGAGAAAGUCAUGUUGAGUCUGAGGCUGGGAAAAUAAGUUAUAGAAAAUACUAUAGAAAUGCCCAACUAGUGAUAGGCAUUAAUGGAAUUGGGAAAAUCUACAAUCCAUAGCCAUGGUGAUAGGUUUUUGGCAAGCACUAAGUGUUUAGGGAUGCCAAAAGUGGGUAUAAAGGGCACAACUGGUUUAAGGCAAUCUGUCCCAGGGAAACAGGACCAAGGGGCCAAAAUUCCAAGAUGGGUCAAAUUUUAAUUUCAGUGUCAGUACAGCUGUGCUUAUAAUGAUGUCUUUGUUAGCAGUAAUGGUUUUACAAAUCUGUUUCUGGGCUAAAGCACUUUAGUCCCAUUAAUGAUAAAACUUCAGUUACUCUCUGAAUUUUCCUUUUUUUGAGACUGAAUCCUGUUGCCCAGGCUGGAGUGCAAUGGCAUGAUCUCAACCGCUGCUCACUGCAACCUCUACCUCCCGGGUUCAAGCGAUUCUCUUCAGCCUCUUGUAGCUAGGACUAUAGGCACCUACCAUCACAACCAACUCAUUUUGGUAUUUUUAGUAGAGACGAAACCCCAUCCUCCCAAAGUGCUGGGAUUUCACAGGCCUGAGCCGCAGUGCCCGGCCUCCCAGGCCUUUUAUGCUUGAUGUUUUUUUCAGGGCCCUUCCCAUUGUCAUUUCACAAUCUCAUUGAAAUGUCAGCUUAUGCACUAAAUGCGUGUAAGUUGGGAAUGCCCAAUUUUGUCUAAGAAAAAAGGCCUCCCCCUCCCCCAAAUAAGCACAUUCUUUCAUUUCCUGGGGCUCACCCGAAUGUCUCACACAGGCUGUAAAACAACUACCACCACCUGGCUGGGUGCUGAGGUGGGCAGAUUACCUGAGGUCAGGAUUUCAAGACCAACCUGGCCAAUAUGGUGAAACCCCAUCUCUACUAAAAAUACAAAAAUCUAGCCGGGUGUAGUGGUGGGCUAUUGUAGUCCCAGCUAUUCGGGAGGCUGAGGCAGGGGAACUGAACCUGGGAGGCUGAGGUUGCAGUGACCCGUGAUCCUGCCACUGCACUCCAGCCUGGGUGCCAGGGUGAGACUUUCUCAAAGGAAAAAAGAAGGCUGGGCGUGGUGGUUCAUGCCUGUAAUCCCACCACUUUGGGAGGCCGAGGCGGGUGGAUCACACGGUCAGGAGUUUGAGACCAGCCUGACCAACAUAGUGAAACCCCCAUCUCUACUAAAAAUACAAAAGUUAGCCAGGUGUGGCGUGCACCUGUAAUCCCAGCUACUCAGGAGGCUGAGGCAGGAGAAUUGCUUGAACCUAGGAAGUGGAGGUUGCAGUGAACUGAGAUCAUGCCACCGCACUCCAGCCUGGGCAACGGCGAGACUUGGUCUCAAAAAAAAACACACACACAAAACUACCACCACCUACCCCAAUCGGUUACCCUUUACUUUUCAUGUGACCACCAUGACCUAUUAUGUGUUUUGUUCUUACUUCCCCCACAAGAAUGUAAGCGCUUCAAGUUUAUUCCUUAAUGUUGGAAAAAUGAAUGAAACUGCAAAUGUAGUAGAUCAGUUUUUGGGGAGGUACCAAAGACAAGUUGGUAAAAUACCUUGAUUUUGAAGUGAAAAACGAUGUUACAUUUCAAAGUAUCUUUUCGCCAGGUUAUGGCUCAGGCUUCGAGACCAGCCUGGCCAACAUGGCAAAACCCGGUCUCUACUGAAAAAAAGCGAAAAUUAGCCGGGUGUGGUAGUGUGGGCCUGUAGUCCCAGCUACUCUGAACCCUGGAGGUGGAGGUUGCAGUGAACCAAGAUCGUGCCACCUCACUCCAGCCUGGGCCUCCUAGGCUCAAGUGAUUGUUGUGCCUCAACUACCUGAGUAGCUGGGAUGACAGGUGUGUGCCACCACUCCCAGCUAAUUUUUUUUUCUGUAUUUUUAGUAGAGAUGGAGUUUCACCAUGUCAGCCAGGCUAGUCUUGAACUCCUGGCCUCAAGUGAUCCAACUGCCCUGCCCUCCCAAAGUGCUGGGAUUACAGGUGUGAGCCACUGCAUCCAGCCAAGUUCUAUUCUUUUUUUUUUUUUUUUUGAGACGGAGUUUCGCUCGUGUUGCCCAGGCUGGAAUGUAGCGGCGCAAUCUUGGCUCACUGCAACCUCCACCUCCCAGGUUCAAGCGAUUCUCCUGCCUCAGCCUUCCAAGUAGCUGGGAUUACAGGCGUGGGCCACCAUGCCUGGCUAUUUUUGUAUUUUUAGUAGAGAGGGGGUUUCACCACGUUGGCCAGGCUGGUCUCGAACUCCUGACCUCGUGAUCUGCCCACCUAGCCUCCCAAAGUGCUGGGAUUACAGGCGUGAGCCACCGCAUCCAGCUUCUUGUUCUCUCUUUUAUAUAUAAGUGCCAUUUGCUGAAUCAGAAAACUUUUUGACAAGCAUAUUAAAAGAUUUCAGUUGUAUGUAGUAGCUCAUGCCUGUAAUCCCAACACUUUGGGAAACCAAGGUGGGGGGAUUGCUUGAGUCCAGGAGUUCAAGACCGGCCUGGGCAACAUAGUGAGACCCUGUGUCUACAAUUAAAAAAAAAAAGAAAAAAAAAGUGAGCCGGGCAUGAUGGUGCAUGCCUGUAGUCCCAACCACUCAUGAGACUGAGGUGGGACGAUCGCUUGAGCCCAGGAGGUUGAGGAUGCAGUGAGCUGUGUCACACCACUGGAUUCCAGCCUGGGUGACAGGGUGAGAUGUUGUCUCAAAUAAAAUAUUAAAAAUUGGAUCACCUUAUUCAGCAUUCUGUUGUUUAGCAGUUUUGGAAUUUUAGUUGUUAGUAAAUCUUGACCUUGAGUACACGUUAUUUUGAUAUUCUGUGUGACAAAAUGGGAAGUAUGCAUGAAGCACAUCUGCCAUAAAGUAUGGAUGUCUAGAUUUUUUUUUCCCUAGAAAAAGUAGUUACAAUUGUUUGAGAUACAAGCUGAACUAGCUGCUUGUUUUCACAGAACAUUUUUAGUUUGAAAAAACCUGACAAAUUGAUUAUUCAUAUUUUAGGGGUAAUUUUGGCAGAGAUUUGCUCAAAAAAGAACAAGUCAGCUUGGAAAAAACUGAUGGCAUUUGUUGCCAAUGAUAAAACUCAAGCUUCCAAAUGAAACCUAAAAUUUUGGAAGGCUUGUAUACACUUCUGUGCCCUUAUAGCUUCCUCAGACUUAGACUUUUGUAAUGGGAUUGGUGGUAAUAUUAAUUAAUGGUAUUUUGUUUUAGAUAUUGUAUAUCAAAAUGUGUCAACAUUUGGAAGAUUUGCAUAACUCAGUGAACCAAUAUUUUCCAAAUGAUCAAUCACUGGACUGGUGUUACAAAUAUCACACAUAGGUAAAAGUUCUAUUUAAAUACAAGGUACACCAAUGGACUUUAGAAAAGCUCAUCAAUACGAUUUCAGAAUCCACAUUGCAACUAGCCUUUAAGGAACUCUACUACUUGUCAUAUUUUGGUGUGGUAUCAAAGAGAGUAUCCAUAAUUAUCAGACAAAGCUAUUAAAAUACUCCUCCCUUUUCCAACUUUAUAUAUGAGUGGGGUCAGAUUUUCUUCACAGACUUCAACCAAAACAGCAUAUAACAACAGAUAGGAUACAGAAGCAGAUAUCAGAAUCUAGUGUCUUCUAUUAAGCCAGAAAUAAAAAAUAUUUGCAGAAAUAUAAAACAAUGUUACUCUUCUAUUUUUUUUUUGAAAAUAAUUAUUUUUAAAAUAAAAACAUGGCUGAGUGUGGUGGCUCACGCCUUUGUAAUCCCAGAACUUUGGGAGGCUGAGGCAGGCGGAUCACCUGAGGCCAGGAGCUUGAGACCAGCCUGGUCAACAUGGCAAAACCUCGUCUCUACUAAAAAUACAAAAAUUAACCAGGUGUGGUGGAGGGCACCUGUGGUCCCAACUACUCAGGAGGCUGAGGCAGGAAAACUGCCUGAACCCGGGAGGUGGAGGAUGAAGUGAGCCAAGAUCGCACCAUUGCACUCCAGCCUGGGCAACAGAGUGAGACUCUGUCUCAAAAUAAAAUAAAAUAAAAACAUGCUAUUUGUGUUAACAUGUAAUGGGUUAUUUUAAAAUGAAUUUAACAUUUUAAACUAAAUCAUUAAAUCAAUUAUUAAUUAAUUAAAUAGGAGGCUGAGGCAGGAGAAUCACUUGAACCCAGGAGGUGGAGGUUGCAGUGAGCCAAGAUGGUGCCACUGCACUCUAACCUGGGCAAAAGAGCGAGACUCUGUCUCAAAAAAAAAAAAGGUAUAAAUCAAAAGAAUUUCAAGGCAGAAGUGAAGACUGAGUAGAAGAAAACAAUUUCAAAAUCACUGAUCAAGACCUUGUUCUCAUUUUGUCUUUUUUUGAAAUGGAGUCUUGUUCUGUUGCCAGGCUGGAGUGCAGUGGUGUAACCUCGGCUCACUGCAAUCUCCACCUCCUGGGUUCAAGUGAUUCUCCUGCCUCAGCCUCCUGAGUAGCUGGGACUACAGGUAUGUGCCACCACACCCAGCUAAUUUUUGUAUUUUUAGUAGAGAUGGGGUUUCACCAUGUUGGCCAGGAUGGUCUCAGUCUCUUGACCUUGUGAUCUGUCUGCCUCAGCCUCCCAAAGUGCUGGGAUUAUAGGCGUGAGCCACUGUACCCGGCCUCAUUUUAUAAUUAUUAGUUUAUUAAAACUUUUAUGUGUAUGAUUAGAACUUAAAAUCACAAUGAGUUUUGGUGUUCACUUUUUCGCACAUUUGAGGUUAAUCUAAGGUUGAUUAGAAUUUUCAAUUACUUAUAAUUGAGAGAAAAUAGUGUUCAGUGAUUAAUAAUAUCUUUGUUGUCUUUUUUUUUUUGAGAUGGAGUCUUGCUCUGUCACCCAGGCUGGAGUGUAAUGGCACCAUCUUGGCUCACUGCAACCUCCAUCUCCCAGGUUCAAGCAAACCUCAUGCCUCAGCCUCCCGAGUGGCUGCGAUUACAGGCAUGCGCCACCAUGCCUGGCUAAUUUUUGUGUUUUUAGUAGAGACGGUUUCACUAUGUUGGCCAGGCUGGUGUUGAACUCCUGACCUCAAGUGAUCCACCCACCUCAAUCUCCCAAAGUGCUGGGAUUACAGGUGUGAGCCACCACUCCCGGCCAAUAAUAUCUUUAAAACUAAAAAAAAAAACAGAAAAUUGAUAAGUAAAAUGACUUUUACUAUUGAUAUCAGUUUUGUUUAAUCUGAAACUAUAAAAUAGAGAUAUAUCUACCUAUUUAUGGAUGGAUAAUACCAUCAUCUCAUAUUUGUGGAAUGCUUUAUAGUUUUUCAAAGUACUUUUAUUCACUUUAUCUUCCAUAUAUGUUAUCUCCUCUGAUUCCAGCAAUAACAGCCCGGUGAGGUAGCCAGGGCAAGUAUGUAUUUUACACAUUAGCAGGAAGGGAGGCUAAGCGAGGUUUAUGUAACUUACUCAGGCUGAAACACUGAAGAAAAAUUUGUGACUCUCAUUUCAGUGAUGUUUUCUGCAUUAUUAAAAAAUAUUAUGCUACUCCUCACUAUAUUAUGUUGAUGGUUGAAAUGUCAUUAUAAAGCUUAAUUUAUAUGAUUCUCUUGAUGAGGAUGAUGAAGCAAAUGCUCCAUCAACUCACUAGUUUACAGGGGCAAGCAUUUUCCUACAUUUCACACAUAAUUUGAUUACCUCUGUCCUAAGUGAAUAAUCUACUAUCUGGGUAUGAGAAACAUGAUUUGAAAACACUAAACCACUAUAUUAUUUCAACAAAGAACCAUCUUUCACACCUAAGUAAAAAGGAACUUCAAAAAAAGUCCUAACCAAAAAAAAUCCAAAUGAUGCAUGAAAUCAAGUCAAAAUUGGGUAUCUUUUAUCUGUUUCUUCGUUGUGGUGAAGAAUGUUGCCUGGAUUCCUUCCAUCUAAAGACUUGAUUGUUAGACCUGUGGCAGAACUCUAGAUCUGACUUUAGCCUUGGGGAAGCAAAGAGGACAAAACCUAAAAGCUCAACUUUCUGCAUGGUAUGCAUGAUUCAAUGAGCUCUUUCUGCUUUGGAGUCUGUUGGCUUGGAGACUCGGAUAUGAUAGGGCUUCAGUUCCUCAGGAGGGACAGAAUCUGGGGUAUUGCUCAUGAGGUCAUGUCCCCGGAAGGACUUUGGGAAGGCUAUGACAUCUCUGAUGCUUGGAGAUCCAGUGACAAGGCAUAUCAGUCUGUCUAACCCUGUGAGUAAAAUACAAAGAUAACAGAUGAGAAAUGUAAUCUAAUGUUGGAAAUAACUUAGUUUUUCUAUAAAAGUUGUAGAAAACUUUUAAAUAAGAAUCUUUAACAAACUGUAGCCAACCAUCGUUCCCUACCUUUUUAGAGAACUUUUGUUUGUUUGAGAGGUUCUUUUCUAUCUCAUUCUGGAAAAGUAUUCAGGACUAAUGUUCACAUGCUACUUGGAUUGUCACAGCGAUUAGUGUUCCUAGUAAAGGCUUACUAAAGGCCCUAAAACAGAUUCAACAGUGUAUUUGGUGCUUGGCAGGGAACUCCAUAAACACAGAAGGAAGUCCCUGUUGUUGGGGCCUACAAUCUAGGUGAGCUUCCUAGAAUUUCUUACUCUUCCUUGCUUUGACAAAACAAGCAAAGUGAGUAACCAUGGCAAUCAGAAGGACACUGGCAUCUUCCUGUUUUCAUACAAGCUGAACAUUAUGGAGCAGUGCUUUCCAGACUCCAAUGAGUGCGUAUGUGAGGCCAUGGGGAUUUGAACAAUAUUGACUUAAGAUCUGCAGUUUUAAGCUAUUAAUGAUCUUUCAAAUGCAAAUUAUCAGUUAAGUUAUAUCUUUAUAACUGUUAAGAUAUAUUUAAAAAAUAUAUUACUGAAAUUUCAACAGAAACUUACAUUCUCAUGGAACUCUUGGACUCAUCCUUCCACCUCUACCAACACAAACUGAGAACCUGAAUUUGAGACAGUGCAAUGGAAUUCAGUUUAUCUUAUAAAAGGAAAAGUUGUUUACCUAAGGCAAUUCCUCCAUGAGGGGGUGCCCCAUAAUCUAAAGCCUGGAGCAGAUGGGAGAGCAUUUUCACAUCCUCCUGAAAUUCAAAAGAUAAUUCAGUUUAAAUAUAUUUUGAAGGUCCACUAAGUGCCACCAUCUAGGCUUAGAUGAUAAAGGGGAAACAAAGUUGAGUUUUAAAACAGCUAAAACUGACUUAACCAAUAAUAAAAGUUUAUUGGAAAAGUGUAAAGAAAAAAUUACCUUAAGUGAUUUGCAGGUUAGUAAGGGAAAAAGACAAGUCAUAGAUGAUUAUAACAUGUACAAAAAUGCCUGGUGUUCAGUAAAUGCAGCUUUUACUGUAUUCACAAUGCAAACAGAGUGAGACCAAAUGAGGAGGUGGGGAUAAAAAGCAGGAAACUCUCCUGUCACAGAGACCAAGGGAAGAGAGCAUUACUAAGUGGGCAACAUUGUCAAAUGCUGCCGGGAGGAAGGAGAACUUAAGGGCCAAGAACAGGCCACUGGAUUUAGUGAUCUUGUGAGUAACUUUUGUGGGGCAGUACAUGUAGAAAUGUUGAAAGUGUGUUUGGAAAUGGUUCUCCAACCAGGCUACAAAUCAGGAUCAAGUGGGAAGCUUCAAACAAACAGAGGCCAAAGCCUUAUGCUUAGAACUCUUUUAUUCAGUUGGUCUGAUGUGUAGCCAAGGCACCAGUGUUUUUUUUAAUGCUUUCCAGGUGAUUUGAUUGUAAGGUGCAGCAGGGCUGAGAACCACUAUUUAGGGAAGCAACAGAAGUAAUGUAUUCUAGGCCAGGUGUGGUGGCUCACACCUGUAAUCCCAGCACUUUGGGAGGCCGAUGCAGGCAGAUCACCUGAGAUUGGGGGUUCAAGACUAGCCUGGCCAACAUGGCAAAAUGCUGUAUCUACUAAAAAUACAAAAAAAAAAAAAAAUGCUGGGCGUGAUGGUGUGUGCCUGUGGUCCCAGCCACUCGGGAGGCUAAGGCAGGAGAAUCACUUCAACCUGGGAGGCGGAGGUUGCAGUGAACCAAGAUCACGCCACUGCACUCCAGUCUGGGUGACAAAGCGAGAAAAAGAAAAAAGUAAUGUAUUCUUAGUGACUCUUGAAAAGUUUGACAAUGAGAGGAAUGAAAAAGGCUGAAAACUGCUGACUGGAAGCUGGGCUGGGCAGGAGGAUCGCUUGAUCCCAGGAGUUUGAGGCUGCCCUAAGUUAUGAUCAUGCCAUUGCACUCUAGCCUGGGUGACAGAGUGAGACUCCAUCUUUUUAAAAUCAAACAAACAAACAAACACACAAAACCCAAUGGGUGAUUGGAGGCUUUGAAUUGGCAGGAGAAAAGUUAACAGAUUUCGGCUGGGUGCGGUGGCUCACGCCUGUAAUCCCAGGACUUUGGGAGGCCAAGGCGGGUGGAUCUCUUGAGGUCAGGAGUUCGAGACCAGCCCGGCCAACAUGGUGAAACUCUGUCUCUACUAAAAAUACAAAAUAGCCGGGUGUGUUAGUGCGCACGUGUAAUCCCAGCUACUCAGGAGGCUGAGGCAGAAGAAUUGCUUGAACCCAGGCGGCGGAGGUUGCAGUGAGCCAAGAUUGAGCCACUGCACUCCAGCCUGGGCGACAGAGCAAGACUCUGUCUCAAAAAAAAAAAAAAAAGUUAACAGAUUUCACAAUGCCCUUAAACUUUAAGGACUCUGAAGGCUUAAAGCUAAAGGAGUCAUCUCAUGGUCUGAGUUCUCCUUCCAUCCUACCUCACACUUGUCAGUUAAUCCCACAAAACGAUCUUUUAGGACCAGACUCUCUCAGACCUUUUCCUUUCUGAAACCUACCCAAGCCUUCUACAGCAUCACCAACAAACUUCAAAUUCUUAGGUCUGCACCUGUACAGACUCUUCUUUUACUUUUAAAAAAUCCUGAUUACUCCACUAUCACUAAAAUAUAUCCCUGCCUUAAAUAUAGCUAAAGUAGUAUCUAAUAAGUGAUAUAAAAUCUUUUCAAACUUCUCUCUCUUUCUCUAACAUUAUCAACAUUUUUAGUCACUUCAGACUGCAUGGUUUUCAUUUGAUUUGAUUUUUAUUUUUUCAAGCUGCAUGGUUUUUUUAAGCAGGGUAGUGGUUAGGAGCAUGGGCUUAAGAGCCACCUCACCUGGAUUCAAAUCCUGACUCUGCUUACUUUUGUACUGUCACUUUGGCAAGUUAAGUAAGUUGCCUCAGUAAAUCUCAUCUUUAGAGUGGGCAGAAUAAGGAUAUUUAUCUGCACUAUUAUAAUAAGGGUAUUUAAUAUGCACUAUUAAUUAGUAUUUAAAUAGUACUGUUUAAUAGUGCUAUGUGCCAGAUACUAUUUAAGCAUUUAAUAUUAUUAUUUACUUUUAAUAUUAUUAUUUACUUUUCCAAGUCCUACAUUAAAGGUAGAGAGAUAGCUGAUGCUAUUUUGUAUCUUGUGAAUCCUCCAAUCAUAACAAAUGUUUAAUAAAAUAGGCUGAUUUAAGUCAGAUGCAGUGGUUCAUGCCUAUAAUCCCAGCACUUUGGGAGGCCGAGGCAGGAGGAGUGCUUGAGGGCAGGAGUUUGAGAGCAGUGUGAGCAACAUAGGGAAAUCUUAUCUCUUCAAAAAAAUAAAAAAAUUUGCCGGGCAUGGUGGCAUGUGCCUGUAGUCACAGCUACUUGGGAGGCUGAGGUGGGAGGAUGGCUUAAGCACAGGAGACUGAGAUUGCAGUGAGCUAUGAAUGCACCAGUAGACACCUGCCUGGGUGACAGAAUGUCUCAAAAACAAAACAAACAAGCAAACAACAACAACAACACAAAACUGAAAAAUAUUCUGGUAAAAAAAUAAGCCCAGGAUAGCAGAUGAUGUUUGUUACCUUUAGUAAGGUUGCCAGGAUAUAACGCUGCAGCUCUGCAUUGUGAAUUCGAAUUGAACCACCUCCUAUUUCAUUGCCAUUUAAAACCAAGUCAUAGUGUUGGCUACGGGCCUAGAAGAUUCACAGAUACUUUAUGUUAGAGAAAAUGUCUGGUUUUCUGUUCUACGGGUUGAAGACCCUGUAGAUUUUUAAAGACAAUGUAUUACUACUAACUCAAACUCCACAAUUUCUUCUGGGGCUUCCAGAACUGGGUCCUAUCUUUCAUCAGACCUUGAAGUCUGAAGUUCUUUGCCUUUAUAUACACAUUUCCUUUUGAUUUGGAAGUAUAGAUACGGUACCUUUUUGGGCUCAGUGUACAGGAGAUGUAUGUCACUGGGGUGGGGAGCAGUAAAUGGGUGGUGGGCCGAUUCCAGCUCUCUGGGAUUUUCCUCCUUGGGCAGGAAGAGUGGGAAAUCUACCACCCAAAGGAAAGAGAACAGAGUGGGGUCACGGAGCACCACUCCUCUUGUUUCUAGAAGGUCAGCACAUUCCAGUCGUAAUUUUCCUAACAAAGAGCACUGCAAACAGAAGACGUAAACAUUGAGUUAACUUCUUGACAGAGCAGGCAGGAAAUGACACAGCCUGGAUUCCGAAGCCAGGCCAUUCUCUAGGAAAGGAUUAGCCAAUUAACAGAUAGGAUGCCCUUUGCUUCUCAGGACACAAAGAUCUGAGGAUAAGUCUAAUUGCAACAAGGUUGAGAACAAUCAUCACACUCAACCAACUGGGUGAGUACUGAUAACUCGGUGAUUAAGAACACAGGGAUCAGCACUUCAUAGACCUGGGUCUGAAUCUCAGUGUGGCUAAUUACGAACUUCUCUGUACCCUUUUUCAUUGUAAAAUUGGGAUAAAAAUAUCAACUCCAAAAGACUGCUGUGAAGCUUAAGAUAAUAUACAUAAGGUGCAGGACCUGACAAAGUAUGUGAGUGGUAGUCGUUCUGAUUAUUUCCUCACUUCUCUUGAAGGGUUGUGGUGAGGAUUUGGUAAGUGCCUGGCACACUGUUAAUGUUCAGUGAAGGCUGGCUAUCACUAUAGGUAAUGCAGAUUAGAGGUCCAUUUAAGAGUGCGGAGGGGUGCAGUGGCUCACACCUGUAAUCCCAGCACUUUGGGAGGCCGAGGCGGGCGGAUCACAAGGUCAGGGGUUCUAGAUCAGCCUGACCAACAUGGUGAAACCCCGUCACUACUAAAAAUACAAAAAUUAGCCGGGCGUGGUGGCAUGCACUUGUAAUCCUAGCUACUCGGGAGGCUGAGGCAGGAAAAUCGCUUGAACCCGGGAGGAGGCAGAGGUUGCAGUGAGCUGAGAUCACACCACUGUACUCCAGCCUGGGCAACAGAGUGAGACCAUCUCAAAAAAAAAUAAAAAAUAAAAAAAAAUAAGAGUGUGAAUUUUGGAACCCAACUUCAUGGGUUAGAAAUCCGGCUCCUCCACUUCCUAGCUGUGUGACUGUGAGCAAAAUUUUAAGCUCUGUGACUCACUUUUCUUAUUUUUAAAAUAGCAACAGUAUCAGAACUUCUUUCAUAGGGUUGGCAUGAGGAUUAAAUGAGUUAAUGUAUACAAAGUGCUUAGAACGGGCUUGGCAAAUACUAAGUGCUUAAUAAGUGCUACCUAUGGUAUGCAGGACUUCCCUGAGAAAGGACAGCUGGUUAGAACAGUGACAUAUGCCUAGAGACAUGAUAGGGUAUUAUUUUGCAGCCCAUUCUAUCUUACAUUUACGUCUACAUAACGGACCUUCAUUGUGACAUUUUCAGAAUGUUAAUGUUAUUCCUCGAAAGUCUGGUUUCUAGCUCUCUUUCAAGGAAGGCCUUGUAGGAAUCAGACCUAUAACUUCCUGAGAAUGAAACACCAGCAUGUUUAGUUCAUACCAAGAGAAGGUUUAAUAGCCAAAUUAGUUAGGAACAAAAUCCCAUGUUCUUUUUUAAGAAAUGCAUUCAUAAUAAAAUUUGGAAAUAAAUAGCUUUCUUCAUUUUACUAUUGUAGGGGAAGGGGAGACGGGGGAUUACAUUUAGCUUUGAAGCUGAACUCUGAAACUUUUUCUGUGGAAGAAACAAUGACAAAUGAAAAUAUAGAUUAGAAGAAAGAACUUGAUGAAGUACUAGUUAGACACACUAUCAUUUUGAAAAAACUAUAUACUAAAGUGAAAAAAUAAAUUUAUAUCAUGCUUGAUCUUUACAGUACAUUUUUAAUAUUCAUAUUUGACUUUGUACUAUACUUUUCUAUAUUUUACAAAGAUCCCUAAAGCUAAUUCAGUCUUCCAUAUCCCCUGAAGAAUCAUGACUCAGCCAGUGCAUGAUGGCACUCAUCACCUACAGCUGCUGUUCUUGAGGAAAAAGGGUCCCACUUUGACCAAGUUGGUCCAGGGGUGUCUGCCAGCCCUCCAGCUCGCCAGUGGUCUGAUCCGUCCCUCCACAAUUUACGAAUGCAUGAUGUAUAAAAAUUUGAGACUCCUAAUUUUCUUCAUUUGUGAAAUCUUGACACUGAAAAUAUUUUUUCAUGGUUAUAUGACUAAUUUCACUACCCCUUAAUCUAAGUGGCUUUUCUAAUUAGGGUCAGGUCUAAUCUAUUUAAGUAAUGCCAAUGGAGGCUG